GAGUAGGAAUGACGCGUCAAGUACCGGUUGGAUGGGAGGUUGCCGCCGGGCGAAGGGGCUGGCCCCGCGGUGUCAUUUCGCAUCCGCUA
rnacentral:ncRNA from 1 species